GGGUUGUGAGGUUAAGCGACUAAGCGUACACGGUGGAUGCCCGGCCCCGAGCAGUCAGAGGCGAUGAAGGACGUGCUAAUCUGCGAUAAGCGCCGGUAAGGUGAUAUGAACCGUUAUAACCGGCGAUUUCCGAAUGGGGAAACCCAGUGUGAUUCGUCACACUAUCAUUAACUGAAUCCAUAGGUUAAUGAGGCGAACCGGGGGAACUGAAACAUCUAAGUACCCCGAGGAAAAGAAAUCAACCGAGAUUCCCCCAGUAGCGGCGAGCGAACGGGGAGGAGCCCAGAGCCUGAAUCAGCAUGGGUGUGAGUGGGUGCGUCUGGAGAGGCGGGCGGUACAGGGUGACAGCCCCGUACACAAAAGCGCAUGUGCUGUGAGCUCGAUGAGUAGGGCGGGACACGUGGUAUCCUGUCUGAAAUAUGGGGACCAUCCUCCAAGGCUAAAUACUCCUGACUGACCGAUAGUGAACCAGUACCGUGAGGAAAAGGCGAAAAGAACCCCGGCGAGGGGAGGAAAAGAACCUGAAACCGUGUACGUACAAGCAGUGGGAGCACCCUUCGGGGUGUGACUGCGUACCUUUGUAUAAUGGGUCAGCGACUUAUAUUCUGUAGCAAGGUUAACCGUAUAGGGAGCCGGAGGGAAACCGAGUCUUAACCGGGCGUUGUUGCAGGGUAUAGACCCGAAACCCGGUGAUUAGCCAUGGGCAGGUUGAAGGUUGGGUAACACUAACUGGAGGACCGAACCGACUAAUGUUGAAAAAUUAGCGGAUGACCUGUGCCUGGGGUGAAAGGCCAAUCAAACCGGGAGAUAGCUGGUUCUCCCCGAAAGCUAUUUAGGUAGCGCCUCGUGCAUUCAUCUCCGGGGGUUGAGCACUGUUUCGGCUAGGGGGCCAUCCCGGCUUACCAACCCGAUGCAAACUGCGAAUACCGGAGAAUGUUAUCACGGGAGACACACGGCGGGUGCUAACGUCCGUCGUGAAGAGGGAAACAACCCAGACCGCCAGCUAAGGUCCCAAAGUCAUGGUUAAGUGGGAAACGAUGUGGGAAGGCCCAGACAGCCAGGAUGUUGGCUUAGAAGCAGCCAUCAUUUAAAGAAAGCGUAAUAGCUCACUGGUCGAGUCGGCCUGCGCGGAAGAUGUAACGGGGCUAAACCAUGCACCGAAGCUGCGGCAGCGAACGUAUCACCCAAGACAACUUUACGGAGUUGACGAUUGACGGAGCGAAGCGACGUCAAAGCGUUCAUUAAAGUCGAGUUGGCUUAGGGAUACGUUCGUUGGGUAGGGAGCGUUCUGUAAGCCUGUGAAGGUGUGUCGUGAGGCAUGCUGGAGGUAUCAGAAGUGCGAAUGCUGACAUAAGUAACGAUAAAGCGGGUGAAAAGCCCGCUCGCCGGAAGACCAAGGGUUCCUGUCCAACGUUAAUCGGGGCAGGGUGAGUCGACCCCUAAGGCGAGGCCGAAAGGCGUAGUCGAUGGGAAACGGGUUAAUAUUCCCGUACUUGGUGUUACUGCGAAGGGGACGGAGAAGGCUAUGUUGGCCGGGCGACGGUUGUCCCGGUUUAAGCGUGUAGGUGUGUGUUCCAGGUAAAUCCGGUUCACUUUAACACUGAGGCGUGACGACGAGGCACUACGGUGCUGAAGCAACAAAUGCCCUGCUUCAGGAAAAGCCUCUAAGCAUCAGGUAACAUCAAAUCGUACCCCAAACCGACACAGGUGGUCAGGUAGAGAAUACCAAGGCGCUUGAGAGAACUCGGGUGAAGGAACUAGGCAAAAUGGUGCCGUAACUUCGGGAGAAGGCACGCUGACACGUAGGUGAAGUGAUUUACUCAUGGAGCUGAAGUCAGUCGAAGAUACCAGCUGGCUGCAACUGUUUAUUAAAAACACAGCACUGUGCAAACACGAAAGUGGACGUAUACGGUGUGACGCCUGCCCGGUGCCGGAAGGUUAAUUGAUGGGGUCAGCGCAAGCGAAGCUCCUGAUCGAAGCCCCGGUAAACGGCGGCCGUAACUAUAACGGUCCUAAGGUAGCGAAAUUCCUUGUCGGGUAAGUUCCGACCUGCACGAAUGGCGUAAUGAUGGCCAGGCUGUCUCCACCCGAGACUCAGUGAAAUUGAACUCGCUGUGAAGAUGCAGUGUACCCGCGGCAAGACGGAAAGACCCCGUGAACCUUUACUAUAGCUUGACACUGAACAUUGAGCCUUGAUGUGUAGGAUAGGUGGGAGGCUUUGAAGUGUGGACGCCAGUCUGCAUGGAGCCGACCUUGAAAUACCACCCUUUAAUGUUUGAUGUUCUAACGUGGACCCGUUACCCGGGUUGCGGACAGUGUCUGGUGGGUAGUUUGACUGGGGCGGUCUCCUCCUAAAGAGUAACGGAGGAGCACGAAGGUUGGCUAAUCCUGGUCGGACAUCAGGAGGUUAGUGCAAUGGCAUAAGCCAGCUUGACUGCGAGCGUGACGGCGCGAGCAGGUGCGAAAAAGCAGGUCAUAGUGAUCCGGUGGUUCUGAAUGGAAGGGCCAUCGCUCAACGGAUAAAAGGUACUCCGGGGAUAACAGGCUGAUACCGCCCAAGAGUUCAUAUCGACGGCGGUGUUUGGCACCUCGAUGUCGGCUCAUCACAUCCUGGGGCUGAAGUAGGUCCCAAGGGUAUGGCUGUUCGCCAUUUAAAGUGGUACGCGAGCUGGGUUUAGAACGUCGUGAGACAGUUCGGUCCCCAUUCGCCGUGGGCGCUGGAGAACUGAGGGGGGCUGCUCCUAGUACGAGAGGACCGGAGUGGACGCAUCACUGGUGUUCGGGUUGUCAUGCCAAUGGCACUGCCCGGUAGCUAAAUGCGGAAGAGAUAAGUGCUGAAAGCAUCUAAGCACGAAACUUGCCCCGAGAUGAGUUGUCCCCCGGAGACUUAGAGUCUCCUGAAGGAACGUUGAAGACGACGACGUUGAUAGGCCGGGUGUGUAAGCGCAGCGAUGCGUUGAGCUAACCGGUACUAAUGAACCGUGAGGCUUAACCUUACAACGCCGAAG
rnacentral:rRNA from 1 species